rnacentral:sRNA from 1 species
GAAACCACCGGCGAGAGCCAUGCGAACGAGAUGGGGGAGGCUCUUUGCCUUCAUCUUGGCCAUUACAUUGGCGCGGUGCACCUCGACGGUACGCGGACUGAU